rnacentral:tRNA from 1 species
GGGCCUCUAGCUCAAUUGGUUAGAGCAUCCGGCUCAUAACCGGCAGGUUCGCGGUUCAAGUCCGCGGAGGCCCA